rnacentral:rRNA from 1 species
CCCCUAGAGGAGCCUGUUCUAUAAUCGAUAAUCCACGAUCUACCUCACCAUCUCUUGCCAAUACCGCCUAUAUACCGCCGUCACCAGCCUACCCUAUGAAGGAUAUAAAAGUAGGCAAAAUCGCACAACAGCUAACAAGUCAGGUCAAGGUGUAGCUUACUGAGAUGGAAGAAAUGGGCUACAUUUUCUAAACUAGAAAUCAUUUCACGGAAAGAACUAUGAAACAAGUUCUAAAAGCAGGAUUUAGCAGUAAAUAAGGAUCAGAAUGCCCAAUUUAAGCCGGUCCUAAGGUACGC